rnacentral:rRNA from 1 species
CGGGAUGGGAGACUGCGUCCAUUAGUUAGUUGGUGGGGUAAAGGCCUACCAAGACUAUGAUGUGUAGCCGGGCUGAGAGGUUGAACGGCCACAUUGGGACUGAGACACGGCCCAAACUCCUACGGGAGGCAGCAGUAGGGAAUUUUCGGCAAUGGAGGAAACUCUGACCGAGCAACGCCGCGUGAACGAUGAAGUAUUUCGGUACGUAAAGUUCUUUUAUUAGGGAAGAAUAAAUGAUGGAAAAAUCAUUCUGACGGUACCUAAUGAAUAAGCCCCGGCUAACUAUGUGCCAGCAGCCGCGGUAAUACAUAGGGGGCAAGCGUUAUCCGGAAUUAUUGGGCGUAAAGGGUGCGUAGGCUGUUAAAUAAGUUUAUGGUCUAAGUGCAAUGCUCAACAUUGUGAUGCUAUAAAAACUGUUUAGCUAGAGUAAGAUAGAGGCAAGUGGAAUUCCAUGUGUAGUGGUAAAAUGCGUAAAUAUAUGGAGGAACACCAGUAGCGAAGGCGGCUUGCUGGGUCUUUACUGACGCUGAGGCACGAAAGCGUGGGGAGCAAACAGGAUUAGAUACCCUGGUAGUCCACGCCGUAAACGAUGAGUACUAAACGUUGGGUAAAACCAGUGUUGAAGUUAACACAUUAAGUACUCCGCCUGAGUAGUACGUACGCAAGUAUGAAACUUAAAGGAAUUGACGGGACUCCGCACAAGCGGUGGAUCAUGUUGUUUAAUUCGAAGGUACCCGAAAAACCUCACCAGGUCUUGACAUGCUUCUGCAAAGCUGUAGAAACACAGUGGAGGUUAUCAGUUGCACAGGUGGUGCAUGGUUGUCGUCAGCUCGUGUCGUGAGAUGUUGGGUUAAGUCCCGCAACGAGCGCAACCCUUAUUGUUAGUUGCCAGCACGUAAUGGGUGGGGACUUUAACAAGACUGCCAGUGAUAAAUUGGAGGAAGGUGGGGGACGACGUCAAAUCAUCAGGGCCCCUUAUGACCUGGGCUACAAACGUGAUACAAUGGCUGUGACGAGCGGUACCUCAACCGCAAGUUUUUGGCGAAUCUC